CGACCUCAGAUCAGACGAGAUUACCCGCUAAAUUUAAGCAUAUCAAUAAGCGGUGGAAAAGAAACGAAAACGAAUUCUCCAAGUAGCGGCGAGCGAAACGAGAAAAGUCCAUACACCGAAGUCGGCGAGCAGUUGUGUUCGUCAACAGUGUGGUGUUAAAGGUGUCGUUGCAUGUGCUGAAAUCAGUUCGUAGGCUCCCUUGAUUGGGGCUUCAGAGCGGGUGCAGGACCCAUAACGAACGAUGUUUUGUGCAUGGUGUCGCGGCUCCUAAUCGAGUCGGGUUGCUUGAGACUGCAGCCCAAAGCGGGUGGUAAAUCUCACCCAAGACUAAAAUAUUCGUACGAGACCGAUAGCGAACAAGUACCGCGAGGGAAAGUUGAAAGAACUCUGA
rnacentral:ncRNA from 1 species